AGGCCGCUCACCUUAAGGACGCAGAGUGGCGUCAGAUUUGGAGAAGCGCCGGGGACCGUGGAGGAAGUCAUCGGCCUGGAUUUCUUUGGAUUUGCAGAUAGGGUUCCAGCAGAACUGGAAGCCCAAAGAAGGUAUAAUGGAAACCCCUGCUUGAAGCCAGUGGAUCAGAAGUGCUAGAGGCCCAGACUUGUGAUUGAUGGGAAGGAGGACGCAAUCUUGUAGGACUGAGCCCUCAACCUGUGGGAUCUGACACUAUCUCUGGAUAAGGAGUAUCAGAACUGAAUUGGAAGACACUCAGCUGGUGUCCACAGGAGAACUGAUUGCUUGCUUGCUGGUGGGGA
rnacentral:lncRNA from 1 species